UGGGGAAUUUUGGACAAUGGGCGCAAGCCUGAUCCAGCAAUGCCGCGUGCAGGAUGAAGGCCUACGGGUUGUAAACUGCUUUUGUACGGAACGAAACGGCUCUGGUUAAUACCUGGGGCUAAUGACGGUACCGUAAGAAUAAGCACCGGCUAACUACGUGCCAGCAGCCGCGGUAAUACGUAGGGUGCAAGCGUUAAUCGGAAUUACUGGGCGUAAAGCGUGCGCAGGCGGUUAUGUAAGACAGAUGUGAAAUCCCCGGGCUCAACCUGGGACCUGCAUUUGUGACUGCAUAGCUAGAGUACGGCAGAGGGGGAUGGAAUUCCGCGUGUAGCAGUGAAAUGCGUAGAUAUGCGGAGGAACACCGAUGGCGAAGGCAGUCCCCUGGGCCUGCACUGACGCUCAUGCACGAAAGCGUGGGGAGCAGACA
rnacentral:rRNA from 1 species